AAGACCUUGCGCUUUUGGAGCGGCCGAUGCCUGAUUAGCUUGUUGGUAAGGUAAAAGCUUACCAAGGCUUCGAUCAGUAGCUGGUCUGAGAGGACGGCCAGCCACACUGGGACUGAGACACGGCCCAGACUCCUACGGGAGGCAGCAGUGGGGAAUUUUGGACAAUGGGCGCAAGCCUGAUCCAGCCAUGCCGCGUGAGUGAAGAAGGCCUUCGGGUUGUAAAGCUCUUUCAGUCGGGAAGAAAAGGUUGCGACUAAUAAUCGCAAUUCAUGACGGUACCGGAAGAAGAAGCGCCGGCUAACUACGUGCCAGCAGCCGCGGUAAUACGUAGGGUGCGAGCGUUAAUCGGAAUUACUGGGCGUAAAGGGUGCGCAGGCGGUCUUGUAAGUCAGAUGUGAAAUCCCCGGGCUUAACCUGGGAACU
rnacentral:rRNA from 1 species